ACUUAAUUAGUUUAUUUAAAAAUAAAGGCUUGUGGAGUCUAAGAAACAACCAAAGUAUUAAGUU
rnacentral:tRNA from 1 species